rnacentral:lncRNA from 1 species
UAAAUUCCCGGCGAUGUCAGAUCGCGUGAUGGCGGUGCCGGUUCGAAGCCCCCUCUCUCAAAGCGACUUCCAGCAGACCAUGACGGGGAUCAAGGUGAGCAAGUUGAAGGAACGUUGAUCUGAAUGAAAGCCCUCGACAAAAUAAAUGGGAUGUGUUUUCCCGUCUUGCUGGACCGUGAAAAGGACACCGCGAUGUUUUAAGAAAACUGCCAGGCUGGUGUUUGCACCUGGUCCUCUCCUUGCGUUCGGCUGGGGAUGGGGGGAUGCAGCCCCAAAAUCGAGCUCCUUCAGUGCCUACAGGGAGUGAAGAGGGACCCCAGCCUGCACCAGAUAAAAACUGCUGCCUGCUCCCGCUUUUGCAUGGUUUGUGGCACACCAGACCCCUUGCCCCGGGAGUUCAGCGGGGCCGAGAGGUGCCCAGGGGCUCGGGGCCGGCAGUGCCGCUGCAGCCGCCCCUGCGGCAUGAGGAGCACGGCUCGGACGCCGAGCCCAGGGCCAGGCACUACAGCACAUGGCCACCAAACGAGCUUAAUUAAUUGGCCAUCUGCUUGAAAAGCCAAGGACUGGGUGGCACUGGAGUAUGACUGCCGUGCUGCGAGCCUCUGAAAUGCCUCCUGAAGUUGGGUGCUCUGUGUUCUGGUGGCCAGCACGGACAUCCUGGCUGGCAUCGUUUUUGUCUCCUGGCUUGCAUCCGUUUUUGUCUCAAAUUGACAACAGAGAACAGACACAGCAUUUGGUGUCGGUUCAGGUUGGCCUAGGCAUGUGCAAUACCUCCAGGACUCCACAUAAUCCAUGCAGAGCUCAGGACGAAGGCGAAUGCCCAAGCUCCGUCACAGGCCCAAUGCCAUCCCCUGGGGGGCCUCUGGCUGGCCACAGGCUAGGACAAGGGCAAUGGAUUUUGAUGGUGAGGGUGCUGGGUGGAACAAGUGCUGACCCUGGUAAUCACCCGCCUGGCACUGCAAGUCUCAAUGAGGAAUUUCGGUGUGGGAGGACGAGGAGGCCCAUCCUGCUGGGUAACUUGCUCGAUCCGCGAACGUAUGUGGAAUAAAUGUGCCAGAUUUUAAAAAUGCGUUUUGUUUAUUAGCACACCCUUAAGGAAAUAAAUCAUACAUCAUUAGGAGUGAUGUCUUCUCA